rnacentral:sRNA from 12 species
CGCAUCCUGCGCCGGUCGAAGCCCUGCGUUCCUACGCGGGGUGUUUUCGUAGGCCGGGCAGGAUGCG